GAUAUCAUCACGUUACUCAAGUUUUCUAUUCUGGUCCUUCUCAUUGUUUCAUUUCAUCCCCCUUUAUCUCUGGAUCAAAUUGAAGCUGCUGAUUAAAUUAUUUAAACAAAGCUUUGGCCAUGUUGUUUUUUGUUUGUCUUCCCUCCUUUUUUCUUUCCCGUUGGCUGUCCGAUAUGCAUGCUCUUCUUUACUAUUGGGCACCAAACCGUAUUGCUCCUUAAUGUAUCUCUGGCCACUUUCUCCAGGUAAUCUUGAUGAAGUUCCUUUAGCCAUUUUCACCUCACCAGGACCAUCUAGAGGCCAAUUUUAUGUUCAGCUUAGUCCUGUAAUUGGAAGACAGUGCUCCUGUCUGUGAUUGUGGCUGAAAGGCUAAUGUUCAACAUCCAAUUCUUGACAUUUUCCUGGGUCAUCAUGCUCCUUCCUUGGGGUUCCAAAUGCUGCUCGCUUGUAGCUCUAUUUGGAAAUCUUUUGAUUCUAUCAUGACAUUAAAGCUGAGCCUGUCAGCACAGUGCUCAAUGUAUCCACAAAUAAUUGAUUGGAGAUGACAAGCUGGUUGAAGUCUAGGCUGCUGUAUCUCUGUGAGUCUUCCUAUUGCUAAAAACAGGAAUGGAGACAGGUUGGGGAAAAUGGCAGAUAUGAGGCAGGACUAAACUGCAGCUCCCAUUCAGACAGAGAGCAGCAUGUGGAGACUCACAUCGUGAACUUUUGCUCCCACAUCUAUC
rnacentral:lncRNA from 1 species